CACUGCCAUCUUCUUAGCUGGGUGAGGUGGAACCUGGGUGUUGACGAGAAGGAACAAAGUUAAGAGGCUACAUCAGCUAAAAUGUCUGACAGCUUACUAAACGGGUUGUCUUACGAUGUCUGUGAACCAAUUAGAGAGCGUGUAGCUGAUGCAUGGCCUGCCCUUUGGCCAAUGAACGAGAGAACCAAUUACAUGGAGAUACAUUUGUGUAUCACCAGCCUUUCAAGAUACAGGUGCGUGGCCAAGCAAUUAAUGGAAGUGCAAGAUUAAUCUAACUG
rnacentral:lncRNA from 1 species